GUCUAUUUUGUUUCCAAAGCCCCGAAGAGUCAUGUAACUUAAAGAAUUUGGAAAAAAGGAAAAUGUUAUCGUGUGCCAAUAUGAAUGCUCUCAAGUGGAAUCUGAAACAUUAGCCAUUAGUACUCCUCUGGGAACCAGUCUUUGGAAGAAAUAGUUCAGCUCUUCAAUUUUUGAGGAGAAAUAUUACAAAUGCUUCUGAGAGUAUGAAGAUUUCUGUUUUUAAAGGUCAGUUUACUGAGAUGGCAGUAGUGGUGUCUGCAGCACCUUGCUGAUCAUGGAGUUGGAGUUGGACACAGUGUUAAUGGUAGACAAGACAAGAAAUGGGAAGCCCAUGAAUCUGCUGAACGUAAGAGGACAAGAACCUGCUGGAGAAACGUUUUGAAUGGACAAAUGCAACUCUUUGUAGCUGGUAUUAGCUGUCAAGGUGUUGAGUUCCUCCUUCCUGCCCUAUAUUGGGAUCAUAAAUUAUUAAUACAAACUACGGGCACACCAUCAAGCUGCCAUGAAGAUAGCUCCAUCCACACACUCCCACAAAUGCUCAGCAAGCAUCUUCAUGCAGAAGCCGUGAGCCAGAGAACUGAUUUGGCGUUCACCAUGGUUGCCACACCACAGGCACUUGAGAUUGUCAGUGGAAGUGGGCAGAUGAGCUCUCUGUACUGACUGUACACGAGUGUUUACCAGGAAGGGUUCUUCCCGAAGAUGACCUUGCAGUUCAGACAGUGAAGUAGGACUGCACCGAGUUUGCCUGGUUUCCUGGUUUCUUCCCCCUGCUCUGCCGUGAGGUCCCCGUGUGUAGUCCUUCCC